UACGGAGGAUGCGAGCGUUAUCCGGAUUUACUGGGUGUAAAGGGAGCGUAGGCGGUAAGGCAAGUCUGAUGUGAAAGGCGGGGGCUCAACCCCCGGACUGCUUUGGAAACUGUUUGACUGGAGUGCAGGAGAGGUAAGUGGAAUUCAUAGUGUAGCGGUGAAAUGCGUAGAUAUUAGGAGGAACACCAGUGGCGAAGGCGGCUUACUGGACUGUAACUGACGUUGAGGCUCGAAAGCGUGGGGAGCAAACAGG
rnacentral:rRNA from 1 species